CUCCGGCUCUGCAGCUGUGGCCAGCAGAAGACAAGGGCGCUGCCAAGGAGACAGGACCACCCACAGGACCCCAGGAGGGGCUGAUCAGGGCCUGGAAGCUCAGCUCAGCUCUUGACAUCUCUGAGGAGACCCCACCCCACCCCUCUAGUUUCCUGCCCUCCGGGAUCCAGCUGAUCUCCCGAAACUGUUCCUCUGAAAGUGUGCCAGCCUCCAAGGUUGUCUACUCCGGGGCUACAGAAGGCACGGAUUUCUCUUGUUUGUUUUAAAAUGACUCUCAUUCCCAAAGGAAGUCAGUCAAGAGGUAAAGAGAAGUCUGACUAAUUAGCUACUCCAUUCCCAGCGUUUUACAUGCAUGACCUAGUUGGAGUGAAAGACCCAUCCAAGGUCAAUGAGCUUGACUUGACACACAGCAGACUCUUUACACACAGGCUUGAGCAGCUUGUGUCUACUUCCCAAGACAAGAAGCAGCACAGCACCUUCUAA
rnacentral:lncRNA from 1 species